AUAAUGCUCCCUCCGUUCAACAAAAGAUGUCACAAGUUUGUCAAAAUUUGGAUGCAUCUAGACAUAACUUAGUUAUAGAUGCAUUUAAAUUUAAUAAAAGCUGAGACAUACUUUGUUUGACCGAGUAAUACUAC
rnacentral:pre_miRNA from 1 species